rnacentral:lncRNA from 1 species
UAUUUUACUUAAGUAAGACUAAUUAAUAAACGAAGUCGUAUUUUAGUCUCGCUCGCAGAGAAAGAAUAAAAUUUGGGUUCAAACGACCCAUUUUUAGGCCUAAUAACACCUUUCUUAAAAACUUAGGGACUAAUUGGCAAAAUACACAAAAAAAAAUACACAUUAGACCCUAGACCUACAAGACUAAUGCUAAAAAGAGAGAAAGAGAAUAGACGGGGGAACCACAAAAAAGCAGCAAUCCGCCGUUACAGGGACCUCCCUUUCCCCGAUCGGUCUUCAUCUCCAAAGAAGAAGACAAGCUUCUUUCCAUGGCACCCCAGCUUCUUCUUCCCUAAGAUCAGCAGCGCGAACCAAACACAAGCCCCCUCUCUCCCUGUUCUUCACCUUCUUGAGCAUUUGAACAAAGACCCAAGAAUGGCUGAACUUCAUCUGCAUCAUUCAACACAAGACACACCCAUCAGCAGUUAACCUAGAGACCUACCCUUAGCAGGAGCUACUGGAACACAAAAACGAAUCCCACUCCCACCCGUCCUCCUCCUCACGCCAGCGACUCAACCAAGCUCGCCGGGAAACAACCCAUAACACCAGCGACCUCCUUCAACAGCCUUCCACGACCACACGCACACACAUGGAUAGAGCAGCAACAAGAGGUCACUGAAACAAAGUGAGAGAUAGACGGAGGAAAAGUGAGGCAGUCCGGUCAAAGCUCGGCGAAGUUCCGUCGAGGUCGCGGUAAAUUUUCCGGUCGACAGCCAUCCAGCUAUCAAGCCUUUGUAAUUUCAACCCAGUUCGUUUUAUAUUAAAGGUCACAUUCUUGACAUUUUCUUCUUUCUUUUCUUUGCAAAGAUAUUGGUUUUUAAAUUGCUGAUUUGUUAUAGCGUUAUAGCGUUUGUUUCAACAGCCUUCCACGACGUUUGGACGCUAAUGUUAUAGCCUUUGUUUCUAUUGCUCUGUUGCAACGUUUGGAUUUUAGUUAUUAUCUUGAGUUUCUAAUAUCAUAAGAUAGAAUUGAAUAUGCUUAUAUUUAUUUAUUUUGGUUUAAAGGAUAUGACGAUUCUUAUUUGCCAAGGCAUGAUAUACUGUUGUUUUGAUGGACGAAAAUGAGCAAGAAUUUUUACCAAGUACCUUAUUGAUAAGAACAGAUUGAGUGGGGUAUAAAUAUCGUAGUUUGUUUUAGGCCCGUAAUUAAAUCAUCACAGCUACGGGUACGGUUCUCGUGACGUAGUUGUGACACUUAAUUUCGGACUAAUUUUAAAUAUGAACAUCCGUAGUUAAAUGUUUUUCCCUUUAAUAAAAUUGAAGUGUGCCAUUCAAUCACCUAGUCUAUGGCCAUCACAUAAAUACAAAAUUAGUAUAGAAGAUGCCUUGAACUUUCGUAGUUUGCUUUAGCCGCAUUAGUUGAAUAAUUGUCAUGGCUACGGGUACGGUUCCAGUGACGUAGUUGUGAUGCUGAAUUUCUAAAAAUCUGGGGGUACAUUUAUGUGACCCGGCCCCAAUUUUAUCUUGUUAUUAAAAUAAACACGUUGUAGAUCGUGGGUAUGGUUCAUGUGACAUGAUCCGCAAUAUGUAACACUAUUUAUUAAAAGCGGUUUAAAAGGAAUAAAAAUGCACAUAGGGCUCAAAGAUGUUUUAAAAUCAAAUAAAUAGGCCAAUAAUAACAGUUGAGCGACCGUGCUGAAACCUCGGAACUCGGGAAUACCUAACACCUUCUCCCGGGUUAAGAAAAAUCCUUACCCGAAUUUAUGUGUUCUCAGACAUAAACAGAGUCAAUUUCCUCGAUUCAGGAUUUUAAACCGGUGACUUGGAACACCAUAAAUUAUCCCAAGUGGCAACUCUGAAUCUAAUAAUUAAUCAUGUUUCGAUUAUCACUUAAAUUGGAAAAAACUCCCUUAUACCCCUUUUGGGUGUAGUAAAAAGGAGAUGUGACAGCUAUGGCGACUCUGCUGGGGAAAAGAACCCAGAACUUCUGGUUCAGGGUUCAAGAAUUCAAGCUUAGAAUAAUUGUUGUAUUUGGCUUUAUUUAUUAUCUGAUUUUAUUACAUGUUUGGGCCUAAUGUGCUAAAUGUUGCUUUUACCGCUUUGAUAUUAUUUGAACUGUAUAUAAACUGCUACGAAACCCCUUUCUUCUCUCUUCUGAGGAGUGCACGUUGGCAUGACUUCUUUCUGUUAGUGUCAUAUCCCAAAUUAGAACGAGGUUCAGAUAAGUUGCAAAUCCGGAUGAUCUUUUGGUUACCGGUACGCUGCCCCCCCCCCCCGGCUCGAGUUGUCCGCUCGGGUAUGCCAGGUCUAGAACAAUACACCCAGGUUUUAAACCUAGAAUAACUCAGCCUCAUGCUGGAUCCCUAGUAGGAACGCUUUUCUGCAUCAUGUGCAUUUGACUUUUGGGACUCAACAUAGGGGUUGGGUCCGUCUAGGACAAGUGUACCCAAAAAUAAAAAAAACAUCUUGAUGCAUCCUGUGUGCUACAUGUUGCAAUCUUCAAGGGCAAAACGGUCAUAUAGCAGACCAAUGAUAGUUGAGGGCAAAAAAGAAAAGAAAAAGAAAAAAAGAUGGUGAAGUGUGAAAGUAAAGCAAGUAUGACCCAAUUAUGUUUUCGGUCACAUUUUUGUUUAAAAUAAAAACAUGAAAAUUCAAAAAAAGAUUUUGCACUUUUUGAUCAUUUUCCGAAUAUCAAAAAAAAAUCAAAAAAAAAGGAAAAAGAAAAUCCAAAAAGAUUUUACAUGUUUCAUCAUUUUUUUUAAAAAAAAAAGACAAAAAGUAUAUGUUCUUCAAAUAAGUGUUUUUUUUAGUUCUCGCCCGUAUCCAAUCUGCCCGAACUACGCAUACUUGAUUCUCGUCUUUCGGGGGCGUGAUACGUAGGCAACCCACAUAGGGUCCAGUUUUCCUAGUGAGUUUAGGUUCUUGGCUUCGCGGGGUCUUAGCCAAAUCUUGCAUUUUAGCCACUUUUAGUCACAUAGGUUAAUUUUAGAAAAAUAGUCACAACCGUGUCUUGCAUGUGUCUAGUAAGCAAUGUUAUUGUCUCACAUGAUUUCAGUUUUUUCAUACCGGUAUGGAUCUACUUACCGGAGUUUGAGCAUGACAGAGCCCCAAGACCAUCUAGUCAGGAUCGCUCAUUCAGGAGUGGAUUAAAAGGAGAUUUUCUUUUCUUUUUUAUGUUUUGAGUCUGUGUUUCUUUUUUCGUCUUUUACCUUUUAGUUUUGUAUAGUAAUGUCGAGUUUUUUUUAUUAUUAUUGUACUUUCUAUUUUGCAUUUAAAAAGGUGUGUAAUAAAUCAAAAAUCCAAAAAAAAGAAGAAGUGAUUUUGCGUUUUAUAUUUCCGUUAGAAGUUUUCUUUAGAAUACUAAUUUUAGAAAUGAAAAAAAAAUAUUUCUAUUGGUUUUCCUUAGGAAGUUAAUAUUUAGAGCUCAAAAUAAAAUAAAAAAAAUUGUUUUUAUAUUUCCUUUAGUAUAUUAAGACUAAAAAUCCAAAAAUAAAAAAAGAGAUUUUUCUUUUAGUACCUUUUUAAAAGUUUUCUUUUAAGAUAUUAAUUCCAAAAAUCCAAAAAAAAAAAGAUUUUCUUUUGAGGUUCUUCUUUGGGAAAUUAAUGAAAAAACGAAAAAAAAAUCUUUUUAUUUUCAUUAGAACUUUAGGAUAUUGUACAUAGAAGAAAAAAAAGAACACACUUUAUCUUUUGUUUAAAGUUUCUUCCUUUAAGCAAUCAUAAUUGAAAUCCAAAAAUAUUUUGUUGCUUGUUUCGAAAUCUUGUGUCAAGAUAUCAAACGAAAAUUCAAAAUAUUUUUCUGUGGUUUAUUCUUUAGAUUUCCCUCCUAAAAAAAGGGAAUCAAAAAAUAUUUUUCUCUUCUAGGGUUUUUUUCCCUUAAUAAUUUUCCAUAGAGUAUUUGUUUAAAAAAAAAAGAAUAUAUGCUCGUUAAGCUUUAGUCUGGAAUAGGUCAUAGAACAUUAAGUCUAGAAAAUUCAAAAAAAAGAAGGAUUUUCUUCUUUUAUUUCUUUUUUCUCAUCAGAGUAGUCAUUAAGGUGAAUAAGAAAAGAAAAGAAAAGGAGAAUGUUAGUUUGUUUACUUUAUUCUCGAUCUUCCCGAACUACGCAAAGAUCUGAUUCAUGUGGCGCCAUGAUACGUAGGAAACCUACAUAGAGUUCGAUCGAAUUAUUUUUUUAUUAUUAAAUAAAAAAUAAAAAAAAGAAAAGAAAAAAAGAGAGAUGAAAUCAUGGGAUGUGAGAAAUGAGAGGGAAGAAAAGAGCGAUAAUCAGAAAGAAAGAAAAAAAAGAAGGAAAAUGAGCGAGCUAAGAAGUGCGAGAAAAGAAAAGAAAAGAAAAGAUUCAAAUGGACAAAUUGGGAUGAUGCCAAGUGACCUUGUGACCCUCGAAGUCAUUCUUGAACCGUUAAUUUUUGCUAGGUGCAUUGCACGUAAUGUGAUAUUUUUAGCUGUUAAAUGCCCUAACGCUAACAUGAUGACUUCAUUUGUUCCUCUUUGUUCUCCUCAUUAUAGCAGAAGGGUAGUUGGUUUGUGGUUCUUAAAGUGGUAACUUUUCUCUACAACAUAAAGUUGAAAGGCAAUGGCAGAUGACAACAGAACUGAGUUAGUUGAUACGGGUGCCCAAAAGCAAUUGGUUGAACAGGACAAUGGGUUGAUUGAAGAGGUGAUGAUGUUAAGACAACACAUGGCGGACAUGUAUCGGACUUGGAUGACUGGGAAGGCACCACCCCCGCCACCACUUACCUUCCUAGAUGUUACCCUUACCCAAACUCCGGUCAUAGUGCCAGAUGAUUCCCCAUACUCUCCAUAUUUUCCCGUUUAUCACAGCUUUCCCAACCACCCUAGUAGCUCCAUCACUCAUCCUCCAAUUACCUUUCCCAAAAAUUGCCCUCAUGUCUUAUCCACUAUCCUCAAUAAUGAACACUCACUCAAAGCUCAUGAUGCCCAAUAUUACCACGCAGAGGUUGCCCACAAAGUUCCUGACUCAUACAAGCAGAGCCCUCGAGAUGAGCCUCAUGCUGAAAAUGAAAAGAUCACAGGAAAAUAAGGGCGAGAUGAGAUAUCCAGGAAGCUGAAAAGCAUAAAACAGUCCUUAAAGAACAUGCAAGGGAUGGGAGACCAGGUUAACAUGUCUUACAAAAAAUUGUGUAUGUUCCCUGGCGUUCUCCUGCCCGCGGGGUUUAAAGUGCCAAAGUUUAACUUGUAUGAUGGGUGUGAAGAUUCGGUAGCCCAUUUGAGGGUUUAUUGCAGUGAAAUGAGAAGUGUUGGCGAGAACGAUAAUUUGUUGAUGGCGUAUUUCAGUAAGAGCUUGACUGGGGCAGCUUUGGAUUGGCAUAAUCGUCAAGAUGUCGGUAAGUGGCCUACAUUGGGCGACAUGGCUCAAGAUUUUGUUCGACACUUUCAAUACAAAUUAGGCAUUACCCCAGACCGCUCCUCCCUAUCUAAAAUGGAAAAGAAGCCGGAGGAAAGCUUUAGGGAGUUUGGGCUCAGAUUAAGGGAGCAAGCUACUCGAGUCAGCCCCCCGAUUGAUGAAGAAGAAAUGGUUGAGCUUUUCCUACAAGCCUAGGGGCCCACCUACUUCCGUCAUUUGAUCUCGGACUUGGGAAAACCUUUCAAUGAUGUGGUAAAAAUGGGGGAGAUGGUAGAGAAAGAAAUCAAGUCAGGCAAAAUCAUGAGUUAUUCUGCAUUGAAAGAUACUACAGAAGACAUUCAGAACAUCUUAGUAAGUCUGGGUGGAAAAAGAGAAAUAGAAAAGAUGUUGUUGAGCCCCGCCAACGACGGGAUCCAGUGGGCAUUCCUGCUCAACGCUUUCAACCUCAAUACCGACCCAAUGAACAUCCCCAAACUCCACACAAUCCACCCCAGUAUUAUCCGCCGAACAACAUCCGGCCAUCUGUCCAACCACUAGGUCACUCCUUACGGCGAGCGCCAGCACCGCAUAAUGCAUUUUUGCCCUCACAGCAUUGUCGAGCAUCCAACAACCCUAGAAAACUGGGUCAUGAAGGGAAACAAAAGCAGAGAAAUAGUUUCACGCCAAUCAGGGAGACCUACACGAGCUUAUUUGAAAAGUUAAAGCAUUUUGGCCUGAUCAAGCCACUCCUCAGCUAUACUCCGGACCCAUAUGCAAAAGGUUUUAAUCCUACUGUACGGUUCAUGUACCACUCUAAUGUACAAGGGUAUAGCAUUGAAUAUUGUCGUGCUUUGAAAAGGGAAAUAGAAAGAAUGAUUCAAGAAGGGGCAAUUGUGAUCAAUGACGGCGACAGGGAGCAUGCGAAUUCUCUUGGGAACUUGCUGACUGAAUAUAAUGAUAUUGAAGUUGGUAAUGGUCUUGGCAAUAUUGAUGUGGAACUCGGUGGCUAAGAUGUUGUGCUUGGUAAUUGGAAAGACACUCCAUCUCUUGGCUAGCUGGGGAGGACUCUUGGUGGUUUAUUUUGUUGUCAUUUCUGUUGUCCGGGUUAUCUUCAGGGUUGUAAUCCGGAUAUUGUCUUGUGAAUCAAACCCUUCUAUCCUUUUAUUUUUCCUAGUUCCUUUAGUCGUAGUAACUCAUUUAGUGUUAUCUAGGUUUGUGCCAGGGUUGUACCCCAGUUUAUUUUGCUUGUUUUGUUGUUCAAACCCUUUUACCGUCUGUCUAAUGCAAUUUUCUAUAUUUUGUUAUUUCUAGCCAUUUUUCUUUAGUUCUCUUCUCCUUUUAUAGUUCUUUUCAUGUUGGUUCUAGUGACAUGACAUGCACGUAUAAUUCUAGGCCUAGUCUUAAAAGUUAGCCUAAUCAUGAAGCAAGGAAACAAUUUUGAAGAUGAUAGGGACAUUUAAGGGAAGUAAGUAAAGGGAUUUUUGAGCAUUUGAAGCCCGAACCAUGUGAAACUGGGGCAGAUAAUUGGGAAAGUUAAUGGGACGACAAGAAUUUGUUACAAGAGAGCGUGUCCCAAUAAUUUGAAGCAAGAAACUUUGAGUUCAAGUGCAUCUCAAGUUACAAGAUAAAGUCAAGAAACUUUUCUCCGAAUUGAUGGAGGAUAUCCAUUGUGAAGAGGGAAUCACCCAACGAGGGUUCUGUAUUUGACAAGGCGCUAACGAAAAGUGGAAGGCAUAUCAGUAACAUCAAUGCCGAAGCCGCAAAAGAAAUAUUGUGCAUGAUCUUCAAUUUUCAUUUCAAGUUGCAUGUGUUGUACUUGGCAUUUUCAGGGAUUGGGAGGCCCUCUUUCAGCUACCUAAACACUUAUACCAUUUGAUACCCUUUUGAGCCUGUACUAAUUUCAUUGACCUUCCCUCUUUUGGAAUCAAGUUAGAGUCAUGCGAAAAAAGAAAAAAGUGUAUGCGCCAUAGGUUUAUUUUAAAAGGGUUCAUUCCAAAAGGAAAAUUCAAAAUAAAGAAAAAAAGGGAAAAGAAAAAGAAAAGAAAGAGAAAAAGAAAGAAAAGAAAAAAAAAGAGAAAAAGAAAAGAAAAGGAAAAGAAAAAUAGCAACAACAAAUUGUAUCUUUGUGAACUACGUUUGACCUUAUUCUUGUCACCACAAGACACGUAGGCAGCCUUACGGUUCGGUNNNNNNNNNNNNNNNNNNNNNNNNNNNNNNNNNNNNNNNNNNNNNNNNNNNNNNNNNNNNNNNNNNNNNNNNNNNNNNNNNNNNNNNNNNNNNNNNNNNNNNNNNNNNNNNNNNNNNNNNNNNNNNNNNNNNNNNNNNNNNNNNNNNNNNNNNNNNNNNNNNNNNNNNNNNNNNNNNNNNNNNNNNNNNNNNNNNNNNNNNNNNNNNNNNNNNNNNNNNNNNNNNNNNNNNNNNNNNNNNNNNNNNNAAAAUUCAAACAUGCAUGAGUAACAAGAUCUAGCAUAAGUCUUACCCCAAAGAAAUAUAAGUUGGCUUUGAAGUUUUCAUUCUUAGGAUAGGAUUCAAUUUGAAAUAUUCAGGACCCUCCUGAAUAAUGGGACCUAGCUUUAAGAUUUUCAUUAGAUAACAAGAUUUAGCGUAAGUUCUGCUGUAGGGAAGUAUAAUUCAGCCUUAAAAGCUAUCACUCUUAAGAUAAGACUUGAUUUUGAUUUUCAGGACCUCCUAGAUAAUGGAUUUAGUUUUAAGACCCUCAUAGAUAACAAGAUUUAGCGGAAGUCAUACCUUUAGGAGAUAUAACUUAGCUUUAAAACUAUCAUUUAACUAGGAGUUCUCAGGACCUUCCUGGAUAAUGGGAUCUAGUUUUAAGUUUUUACGACCUUCAUAGAUAAGAAGAUUUAGCGUAAGUUUUACCUUUAGGAAAUAUAAUUUAGCUUUGAAGUUGUCACUCUUAAGAUGUGAUUUAAUUUUAAAUUUUCAGGGCCUUCCUGGACAAUGGGAUUUAGCUUUUAAAUUCUUAGAGCUUUUGGGUACCAUGAUUCGAUUAACACUCACAAAUGUUCCCGAUAUCAAACUGGGGCAGAAAAAUUUCUUUUGUUUUGUCUGUUUUGUUGUGAUCAGGUUCAAAGGCAGCAGUUUCAGAGGAGUCAAAUCGAGUUCGGCAAUCAGGCACCCACCUAGAGAACAAAGGGAAAACAUCAAUGUUCAAAGGAAGAUAGCAAUCAAGAACCCACCUGGAGAACAAAGAGAAGCAGUUCAAGUUUCAAGGAAAGCAAUUUAAGUGUUGGUAAUCAGGAGCCCACCUGAAGAACGAAGGGAAACAACAAUUCAAGUGUUGGUAAUCAGGAGCCCACCUGAAGAACGAAGGGAAGCAGCAAUUUAAGUGUUGGUAAUCAGGAGCCCAACUGGAGAACGGAGGGAAGCAGUUCAAAUACAUAAGUUGAUGAAAGAUGUGAGUUGCUCAAGACAUGACUGAAGUCAAAAGCAUGGUGUGUCCGGUCUUGAUCCGAAAAGCUGAAGAAGGAUGAACUAGCACCUGCAACUAGCAAGCGUCAAGGCUCAAAUCUAAAGUCUGCAUGAAGAACCACUCAAGACUCAAGAUCAAGCUUCAGAAGACUUAUAGAUAAGAAUCUUGUAACUCGUAGUUGAUAGGCUUAGCUAGUCUUUUUCAUGUUUUGAUUUUUGAUGUAACAUCAGGACCGCGGACCGGAACCUCGACGGAACGGCACGUCGACCGACUCUCCACCUCGGUAUACUCCAUCAUCUCACUCACAUCUGAAUUACACGUGGUCUGAGUCCUUUAUAACCAAGGAUAUGUAGGCAGCUCAAAUACCAGGGUUCGAUCACAUUCCCCUUUUCUCUUAGUUUUGGUCUUCUUAAAUAAGAGUCGGGUCAAAAAACAUGUCUAGUCGUUCUUUGUCCGAAAACUCUUCGCGUUUCCAGUCAAAGAGGGGCAGCUGUAGACAUGUGAGUUUUGACCCUCCACAACAUUUUUUUAUAUUUUAGAACGUAAAUAUUUAAUUUAGGCCUAAUAUAGCUAUUUCAACUAAUUUUUACUCUUUUACUUUAUUUUAUUACAAGAAAAGAAAAAUUACAAAAAAUAGUUUCAUUAAUAUUUUGUAGCAUUUUUAAUCUUGAAAAAUACCAAAAAUAGUUUGGUUUUAACGUUCAGUCUUAUUUUAACAGUUAUUUUACUUAAGUAAGACUAAUUAAUAAACGAAGUCGUAUUUUAGUCUCGCUCGCAGAGAAAGAAUAAAAUUUGGGUUCAAACGACCCAUUUUUAGGCCUAAUUUUUGAACCUAGCCCAUAAUCCCCAAGCUCCCCUGAGCCCAAUACCCUUAACACCUUUCUUAAAAACUUAGGGACUAAUUGGCAAAAUACACAAAAAAAAAUACACAUUAGACCCUAGACCUACAAGACUAAUGCUAAAAAGAGAGAAAGAGAAUAGACGGGGGAACCACAAAAAAGCAGCAAUCCGCCGUUACAGGGACCUCCCUUUCCCCGAUCGGUCUUCAUCUCCAAAGAAGAAGACAAGCUUCUUUCCAUGGCACCCCAGCUUCUUCUUCCCUAAGAUCAGCAGCGCGAACCAAACACAAGCCCCCUCUCUCCCUGUUCUUCACCUUCUUGAGCAUUUGAACAGAGACCCAAGAAUGGCUGAACUUCAUCUGCAUCAUUCAACACAAGACACACCCAUCAGCAGUUAACCUAGAGACCUACCCUUAGCAGGAGCUACUGGAACACAAAAACGAAUCCCACUCCCACCCGUCCUCCUCCUCACGCCAGCGACUCAACCAAGCUCGCCGGAAAAUAACCCAUAACACAAGCGACCUCCUUCAACAGCCUUCCAUGACCACACACACACACAUGGAUAGAGCAACAACAAGAGGUCACUGAAACAGAGUGAGAGAUAGACGGAGGAAAAGCGAGGCAGUCCGGUCAAAGUUCGGCGAAGUUCCGUCGAGGUUGCAGUAAAUUUUUUAACAGCCAUCCAGCUAUCAAGACUUUGUAAUUUCAACCCAGUUCGUUUUAUAUUAAAGGUCACAUUCUCGACAUUUUCUUCUUUCUUUUCUUUGCAAAGAUCUUUGUUUUUAAAUUGCUGAUCUGUUAUAGCGUUAUAGCGUUUGUUUCAACAGCCUUCCAUGGCGUUUGGACGCUAAUGUUAUAGCCUUUGCUUCUAUUGCUCUGUUGCAACGUUUGGAUUUUAGUUAUUAAUCUUGAGUCUCUAAUCUCAUAAGAUAGAAUUGAAUAUGCUUAUAUUUAUUUAUUUUGUUUUAAAGGAUUUUACGAUUCUUAUUUGCAUGAUAUACUGUUGUUUUGAUGGAC